GCCAGUGUGGUGUAGUGGUUUGAACCUUGGAUUAUGACUCUGGAGAUCAGGGUUCAAACCCCCGCCAGAGCA